rnacentral:tRNA from 1 species
AUUUAAAUAGUUUAAUAUUAAAAUUCUAAUUUGUGGAGUUAGAGAUGUAUAGUUGUAUUUUAAAUA